AGAGAAAAUGAAACAGUGAAAACAAUUCAUCCAAAAUGUCCAAUCUCCUGAUCCUGCUGAUUGGUUUUCUUCUGAUUAACGGGUCACUUUGUGAAUCAUAUGGUUACGUUCCAACAUGGGGAAUAGUCUGCCUGGCAUUGAUUGGUUCAGUGCUCUUGAUGAUGAUACUGGUCUUCGUUCUUAUGCUGGCUUUCCGUCGUAGACAGUGAGUGAAAGAGAAACUCUUCAAAGUCCAUUUAACAUUAUGUGAUCUACAAGCAAUAAACUUUCUUUGAACUUUCCACACAAGAAAAUCGGAAUCCUAGAAGACCACUUACCAUUUCUCCACUCAGGAUUUUCGUUAAUGGCAAAUCUUCAUCAAAAGCACGCUGUUCCUUAAGUGAAUCCCUAUAUAAUAGAUCAUAGAUAUUUAUUUCUAGGUUACUGUACUCCAUUAGACCAUACUAAAUACACCACCUCUCCACAUGUUUUUCAGUAUGAAGUAUCUUCAGAUUUCUUUUUUACAUGGCUUUAUUUUUUUAAGCUUUGCUUGCGUGUUCAUAUUAAUAUAUACAAUAGUUUUGUUUUUUUGGGGGGGUUUGAGAGGGGUGUUAUUUGCAAAAGAAAUUGUAAUUGAAGUGGGAUUGUACAGUAAUCAGCUUCAAUAAAAAAAUAUAUUAUUGAUGAAA